rnacentral:lncRNA from 1 species
CCCUAGGGGCACAGGCUGAUGGCUAAAUUACAUGGCUUCCCACAGGGCAUACUUGGCUCUGGGUUUGCACUGAAGGUCCAGCAGAAGCAGAGGCAGAAACACUUCAACCGGCAGAUCCCAGCCGCAGCCUCACUCAUCCAGACUGCAUGGAGGUGCUAUGCUGCAGAGAAUCCUGACUCAUCCACUUGGAAGAUCUAUGUCCGGAAGCCUGCUCGGAGCCACACUUUGCUCUCCCCCAGCCCCAAGCCUAAAAAGUCUGUCAUGGUAAAGAAGAAGAAGUUCAAGCUGGAUAAGGAUAACGGGCUGAGUCCUGGAGAGAAGAUAUUCAAUGUCCCUCACAUCACUUGUGAUCCCCCAGAGGAUCGGAGGCCAGACCAUUUCUCCAUUGAUGGCUACGACAGCUCAG